rnacentral:lncRNA from 1 species
UUUAUCUGAAAUAGGAAAGCUCUAGGCCGGGCGCAGCGGCUCACGCCUGUAAUCCCAGCACUUUGGUAGGAGGUGGGCGGAUCACCUGAGGUCAGGAGUUCCAGACCAGCCUGGCCAACAUGGUGAAACCCCCUCUCUACUAAAAAUACCAAAACUUAGCCAGGUGUGGCAGCGUGUGCACUGCAAAGUCAGAGGAGCUACCCUGAAUCUCCUUCUAAAGCAAGCUUGUCCAACCCAUGGCCCAUGGGCCAUAUGCGGCCCAGGACGGCUUUGAAUGCAGCCCAACACAAAGUUGUAAACUUUCUUAAAACAUUAUGAGUUUUUUUUUGUGUGACUUUUUUUUCUAACUCAGCAGCUAUCGAUGGUGUUAG